ensembl:lncRNA
AGAGAGAGAGGGAAGACGCUCUCUGCGAGCCAGAGAGAGCGUCAUAAGAGCUGGAGACGCACGGAAUGCAAACGGAACGUUGUCCUUUUGUUCCUUGACUUUGUGUUUGUUAACCCGAAGGUGGAAAUAAGGGGGAGUUCGCUCCAUUUCCUCAAAGAACUGUGUCCUGACUCGGCUGAACUCGUUACACUGGAGCCCAACUUGGGGCGGAGUCAAUUAUGGAUCGAUUGUCAUUGGCCAGUGUCCUCAGACACCUGGCACAAACCGCGGAGCGUCAGACCCAGCUGCAGCAGCCCCAGAUCGAGGUCCUGGUGGAGCUGGCCCGCUCCUUCGCCACCGACCGGGAGGCCAUGCGGGAGCUGCUCGGCUCCGGAGAACGCGGCGGGGAAACCCGACCAUGGCGACAUAUAUAUGUCCCCAAGAUGGGGGAGGCAGACGACCCAGAGGCCUUCCUGGAGACCUUCCGGGGGGGGUGGCCGAGGUCUCAGAGUGGCCGCCGCAGGAGUGGGCCCACCGUCUCCUGCCUCUGCUGACGGGAGAGGCCCAGCUUGCGGCCCACAGCCUACCAGCGGCGGCCCAGAUGGACUUCGACACCGUCGCCAGGGCUAUCCGGGACCGGUUGGGCCUAAACCCGGAGGAACAUCGCCGCCGGUUCCGGGCCCUGGCCUUCACCGUCGGCGACCGGCCCUUCACCUACGCCUAGCAGCUGUUGGACCAGGCGAGGAGGUGGCUGGGCCUGGAGAGGUUGGUCGAGGGGCUUCCGACCAGAACAUCAACCUGGGUCCGGUACCACCAGCCCGGGAGCCUCUCGGAGGCCGUCAACAUCGCGGAGGGCCACCUGGCUCCCCCUCUGUCGGACCGACGACCGCCGAUCCCGAGCCCGCGGACCGGUGCGGCAGCCCUGCAGCGGGACAGGCUCACCGCAUCCCGCAGACGGGCACUCAGACGGCAGGGGAGGUGUGUUGGCGGUGCGGACGGCCGGGCCACCUUCGGCGGGACUGUCCGUUGAUGGAGGUGGGCCAGGUCGUCCGCAUCACCGGUGCCCGGUUCUUCCCCACGGUCCCAGCGAGGCGUACCGUAUCCCGGUGAGGAUACAGCGGGGCAGACGCGUCGGAUAGGGGGUUGGGCGCGGUCCUGACCCAGCAGGUGGAGGGGACCGUCCGUCCGGUGCUGUACCUGAGCCGCAAGCUGUCGGACCGCUAGGGUCGCUACAUCACGGUAGAGAAGUGUCUCGCCAUCCGGUGGGCGGUCGGUGCCCUUCGCUACUACCUGCUGGGUCGCCAGUUCACCCUCUACUCCGACCACGCCCCCCUCCAGUGGCUCCACCGGAUGAAGGAUGCCAACGCGAGGAUCACCCG